AGUGAACGCUGGCGGUAGGCCUAACACAUGCAAGUCGAACGGCAGCACAGUAAGAGCUUGCUCUUACGGGUGGCGAGUGGCGGACGGGUGAGGAAUACAUCGGAAUCUACUUUUUCGUGGGGGAUAACGUAGGGAAACUUACGCUAAUACCUCAUACGACCUACGGGUGAAAGCAGGGGAUCUUCGGACCUUGCGCGAUUGAAUGAGCCGAUGUCGGAUUAGCUAGUUGGCGGGGUAAAGGCCCACCAAGGCGACGAUCCGUAGCUGGUCUGAGAGGAUGAUCAGCCACACUGGAACUGAGACACGGUCCAGACUCCUACGGGAGGCAGCAGUGGGGAAUAUUGGACAAUGGGCGCAAGCCUGAUCCAGCCAUACCGCGUGGGUGAAGAAGGCCUUCGGGUUGUAAAGCCCUUUUGUUGGGAAAGAAAAGAAGCAGGUUAAUACCCCGCUGUUCUGACGGUACCCAAAGAAUAAGCACCGGCUAACUUCGUG
rnacentral:rRNA from 1 species